rnacentral:rRNA from 1 species
UACGUAGGGGGCUAGCGUUGUCCGGAUUUAUUGGGCGUAAAGAGCUCGUAGAUGGUUCGGUAAGUCGGAUGUGAAAUCUCCAGGCUCAACCUGGAGGGGUCAUUCGAUACUGCCGUGACUAGAGUUCGGUAGAGGAGUGUGGAAUUCCUGGUGGAGCGGUGAAAUGCGCAGAGAUCAGGAGGAACACCCGUAGCGAAGGCGGCACUCUGGGCCGAUACUGACACUGAGGAGCGAAAGCGUGGGGAGCGAACAGG